UCAAAGUAGGCAAAUCCGCUUUGAUAAUGCUGGGAUGUGAUGGGGAGCGAAAUUUAGUAGCGAAGUAGCUGAUUUCACACUGUCAAGAAAAGUCUCUAUCGAGGUUAAAGGUACCCGUACCGCAAACAGACACAGGUGGGUGAGGAGAGUAUCCUAAGGCCAGCGAGAGAACUGUUGUUAAGGAACUCGGCAAAAUGACCCCGUAACUUAGGGAUAAGGGGUGCCA
rnacentral:rRNA from 1 species